AUUGAACGCUGGCGCCAGGCCUAACACAUGCAAGUCGCACGAGUGGCGGACGGGUGAGUAAUGUCUGGGAAACUGCCUGAGGGAGGGGGAUAACUACUGGAAACGGUAGCUAAUACCGCAUCCCAUCAGAUGUGCCCAGAUGGGAUUAGCUAGUUGGUGGGGUAACGGCUCGCCAAGGCGACGAUCCCUAGCUGGUCUGAGAGGAUGACGAACCACACUGGAACUGUGACACGGUCCAGACUCCGACGGGAGGCAGCAGUGGGGCAUAUUGCACAAGGGGCGCAAGCCGGAUGCAGCCAUGCCGCGGGUAUGAAGAAGGCCUUCGGGUUGUAAAGUACUUCCAGCGGGGAGGCGUUACCCGCAGAAGAAGCACUGGCUAACUCCGUGCCAGCGGCCGCGGUAAUAC
rnacentral:rRNA from 1 species